rnacentral:lncRNA from 1 species
AGGAGAGGUGAUUCUUCUAGGGGACUAUUAAAACAGCCAGUACAAUAUAGAAAUGCAGUUUGAACACGUGAAUCACCAUAGGAUGUACAAAGUUAAAAGGCUUAACUUACUGUAAGAGAAUAAAUAUGAUAUGAUUCUUUUAAAUGACAUUUAUGAUAUUUCCUCUCAGGGAGUACGUCGAGACUAAAAAUGAUGGUAUCAAAGAUUCCCUUGUCAAGGAAAUUGUGGCAACACUUAAAAACAUGGAGGAUGUUACUUUGAAACUUCUGAUGGAAAUUGUUGCUGACAUGGCAGAGAGCCUCCUUCAGAAUUACUUCAAAACAGAGUACAAUCAAGGGGUCUUGAUGACUGGACUAAAGACACAUUUCUCUAAGCUGUUAUUGUGGUGUCAGGACGAACAAAGGAGAGUGAUGGAUGAGGCCUACAAGCUCAUCGCUCUCACUUACCUCAAACAUCUCGUCCGAAGCAGCCAGAGGAAACUGAGAAAGCGCUGGAGUCCUGAUUUCGUGCUAAAAAUCGUCGAAGAUGCUGAGAGUCUUCACGACACCAUCUCAGACCUGGUGAGACCAACAUUUUGGUAUUAAUCACUGGAAACAGCAUCUUCUUAUUCAUUGUUAACAACAUUUAGCCUUUGUUGUAUCAGGCCCCUGGUGUCCAACAGUGGAACCUCAUGAUGCUGAAAAUCCCAGAGCUGCUGAAUGAUAAAGACAUUGUUGCAGUAAAGCUCACAGCUGCGAACAUGCUGAAAGAAUGUCCCACAUGGAGGUAAAUCAAUCUAUAAAAUAAAAAUGUUGCCCAUGAAAAUGAAGGUGUGCAUAGUGACACAAGAGGUUAAGAGACUUAAUGGCACACAGACCGUAACCAUCACCAACCAGUUUUGGCUCAAAUGGAUAGCAGCAACUAUCAGGGAGCUUUUACACCUGAAGGAGCAUCUUACUUCGGACACUUGAAGUAUAUUUUGCUGCUAAAACAUAGAAUGGAAUCACGAUACUCCAAAUCCACGACUUGAU